UACGUAGGGUGCAAGCGUUGUCCGGAAUUAUUGGGCGUAAAGAGCUCGUAGGCGGUUCGUCGCGUCGGCUGUGAAAACCCGGAGCUUAACUCCGGGCCUGCAGUCGAUACGGGCGGACUGGAGUUCGGCAGGGGAGACUGGAAUUCCUGGUGUAGCGGUGAAAUGCGCAGAUAUCAGGAGGAACACCGGUGGCGAAGGCGGGUCUCUGGGCCGAUACUGACGCUGAGAAGCGAAAGCAUGGGGAGCGAACAGG
rnacentral:rRNA from 1 species